rnacentral:rRNA from 1 species
GAUGAACGCUGGCGGCGUGCUUAACACAUGCAAGUCGAACGGUGAAAGAGAGCUUGCUCUCUGGAUCAGUGGCGAACGGGUGAGUAACACGUGAGCAAUCUGCCCCUGACUCUGGGAUAAGCGCUGGAAACGGCGUCUAAUACCGGAUACGAGCUGCGAAGGCAUCUUCAGCAGCUGGAAAGAACUUCGGUCAGGGAUGAGCUCGCGGCCUAUCAGCUAGUUGGUGAGGUAAUGGCGCACCAAGGCGUCGACGGGUAGCCGGCCUGAGAGGGUGACCGGCCACACUGGGACUGAGACACGGCCCAGACUCCUACGGGAGGCAGCAGUGGGGAAUAUUGCACAAUGGGCGCAAGCCUGAUGCAGCAACGCCGCGUGAGGGACGACGGCCUUCGGGUUGUAAACCUCUUUUAGCAGGGAAGAAGCGAAAGUGACGGUACCUGCAGAAAAAGCACCGGCUAACUACGUGCCAGCCGCCGCCGUAACAC